rnacentral:lncRNA from 1 species
GUCCUAGUGGGCAAAUUAUUCCCUAUACUUUUAUGUUUACAGAACACCUGAUGAAGACCUGAGAGGAAGCAAUGGUCAUGCUGCUGCUGAACCAGGCUCCAUCUUUGUUACCUCUUUCUUAAUAUAGCCCUGAUAUCACUGAGAUUACAGCUUUUGGUUUUUCCAAUCUUUGGAAAAUGCCAUUUGAAGCUAUACAGUUCAUCACGUCGAGGAAGGCAUGGCAUUGGAAGGCAUGGUGGUGUGGUGACAUUAUUCUGUUUUGGAAAACCUGGGUUGAUUUUCAGCAUAUUUUCUUGGUGUCAUAUGAGGAAUCUGAGUGUCAGUUUCAAUUCGCAUGAAAUAUCUGGGUUUACAUGGUAACAAGGAGACUUUCUACUCUCAGAGACAUUGUAACUGGAGGGCUUACAAAU